UACAGAGGUCCCAAGCGUUGUUCGGAUUCAUUGGGCGUAAAGGGUGCGUAGGCGGCGCGGUAAGUCGGGUGUGAAAUCUCGGGGCUUAACUCCGAAACUGCAUUCGAUACUGCGGUGCUUGAGGACUGGAGAGGAGACUGGAAUUCAUGGUGUAGCAGUGAAAUGCGUAGAUAUCGUAAGGAAGACCAGUGGCGAAGGCGGGUCUCUGGACAGUUCCUGACGCUGAGGAGCGAAAGCGUGGGGAGCAAACAGG
rnacentral:rRNA from 1 species